rnacentral:tRNA from 1 species
UUUCUAAGGAAAAACGGAAGCACGUUUGGCGUAUUGUUUAGUUUUGAGAGGUCUUGUGGGGCCUUAGCUCAGCUGGGAGAGCGCCUGCUUUGCACGCAGGAGGUCAGCGGUUCGAUCCCGCUAGGCUCCAUUGAAUCGAAAGAUUCAAAGAUUGUCCAUUGAAAAUUGAAUAUCUAUAUCAAAUUCCACAAUUAGAAAUAAUUGUAGAAAGUAACAAGAAAUAAACCGAAACGCUGUGAUUUAAUGAGUUUAAGGUCAAUAAGACCAAAAUAAGGUUAAGUUAAUAA